rnacentral:rRNA from 1 species
UACGUAGGGUGCGAGCGUUAAUCGGAAUUACUGGGCGUAAAGCGUGCGCAGGCGGUUGUGCAAGACAGAGGUGAAAUCCCCGGGCUUAACUUGGGAACUGCCUUUGUGACUGCACGGCUAGAGUGUGUCAGAGGGGGGUAGAAUUCCACGUGUAGCAGUGAAAUGCGUAGAUAUGUGGAGGAAUACCGAUGGCGAAGGCAGCCCCCUGGGAUAACACUGACGCUCAUGCACGAAAGCGUGGGGAGCAAACAGG